AUUUGAUGUGAACUUUCUGCAAAAAGGUGAAGAGACUCAAAUCCCUAAUUCUUUCCCUUUAGAAAGAGGUUGCAGCAAUACUCAUUCAAGUUGGAAAAGAGAAGGCUAUGAACAGAUGGCUAUGGCAAACAGCACAUUGCAAUUGGGGAGCAGUGCACAGGCAUAUCAUCAACAUUAAUGAUA
rnacentral:lncRNA from 1 species